GGGAAAUUAUUUGAUUGGUAAAAUACUGACCUCCAUAAUCAGUUUUAAAGGUUCAAGUCCUUUUUUCCCU
rnacentral:tRNA from 1 species